rnacentral:rRNA from 14 species
GGAGGCGGUUCGCCGCCCCCGACGUCGCGAGAAGUCCAUUGAACCUUAUCAUUUAGAGGAAGGAGAAGUCGUAACAAGGUUUCCGUAGGUGAACCUGCGGAAGGAUCAUUG